rnacentral:rRNA from 1 species
GACGAACCGAGCGAACGUUGUUCGGAAUCACUGGGCUUAAAGGGCGCGUAGGCGGACUAUCAAGUCUGGGGUGAAAUCCCGCGGCUCAACCGUGGAACUGCCCCAGAUACUGACGGUCUCGAGGGAGGUAGGGGCAUGCGGAACUGUAGGUGGAGCGGUGAAAUGCGUUGAUAUCUACAGGAACUCCGGUGGCGAAAGCGGCGUGCUGGACCUCUUCUGACGCUGAGGCGCGAAAGCUAGGGGAGCAAACGGG